rnacentral:rRNA from 1 species
UACGUAGGGGGCAAGCGUUGUUCGGAAUUACUGGGCGUAAAGGGCGCGUAGGCGGCGACCCAAGUCAGAUGUGAAAGUCCUGGGCUUAACCUGGGGACUGCAUUUGAUACUGGGUUGCUUGAAUUCGGGAGAGGAUAGCGGAAUUCCCAGUGUAGAGGUGAAAUUCGUAGAUAUUGGGAAGAACACCGGUGGCGAAGGCGGCUAUCUGGACCGACAUUGACGCUGAGGCGCGAAAGCGUGGGGAGCAAACAGG